rnacentral:rRNA from 1 species
CCUUUUGCAUAAUGGUUAUACUAUUUAAGAAAUGUAUAUUAAACACGAAUCAAGACGAGCUAUUUUCAACCAACAAUAUGGGUGUAGCAGAAUUCAUGGACGAGAAGGAAAUAGGGGUGAGAGGCCUGUCAAGUCUUGGGAUACCUUGACGCUAAUGAAAAGUAUUUAGUACAAAGAUAAAUUAUAAAUGAUAAGGUUUGUAAUUAGAAUUAAAUAUGAUAGUAAGUAUAAUUUCAAGAUUUAAGUUUUACAAAUUCUUAAUAAUAAAAUUAAUUUCAAGUUAUUAUUUCUACUAAUUAGCUAUUUAUUAAUUUUUUUUAAAGUAAAUAAUGUUUAAAUGAGUAUUUAAAUAAAUGGAAAAAAGGACUCGGCAAAUAUUAUUUUCGACUGUUUACCAAAAACAUAGCCAGAUGGAAUAUAUAUUUGGUGGAUUCUGCUCAAUGAUAUUUAAAUAGCCGCA